CAACAAGAUGCAGUGGAGUAGACAAGAAACAGCGGCCUUUGAGGCAGGAGGGAGCUGGACAGAAGCGGCCAUGAUUUCUCCCUCCUUCCCACUACUGCAGUUACCUGUGGCUGCUCCUCUCCCUGCUGCGCUUCUGGACUGCAGGCGUCCACAUUACAGCUCAGGAACCUCAGAGCUGCAUAGAAAUCAAACCCAAUGUGACAGUGAGUCUCCUCAGAGCCCGCACCAGCACCAGUGG